GACGAACGCUGGCGGCGUGCUUAACACAUGCAAGUCGAACGGAAAGGCCCUGCUUUUGUGGCGUGCUCGAGUGGCGAACGGGUGAGUAUCACGUGAGUAACCUGCCCUUGACUUUGGGAUAACUUCAGGAAACUGGGGCUAUUACCGCAUAGGAGCUCCUGCUGCAUGGUGGGGGUUGGAAAGUUACGGCGGUGGGGGAUGGACUCGCGGCUUAUCAGCUUGUUGGUGGGGUAGUGGCUUACAAAGGCUUUGACGGGUAGCCGGCCUGGGAGGGUGACCGGCCACAUUGGGACUGAGGUACGGCCCAGACGGAUACGGGAGGCAGCAGUGGGGAAUAGUGCAAAAUGGGCGGAAGCCGGAUGCAGCAACGCCGCGUGCGGGAUGACGGCCUUCGGGGUGUAAACCGCUUUCGCCUGUGACGAAGAGUGAGUGACGGUAAUGGGUAAAGAAGCACCGGCUAACUACGUG
rnacentral:rRNA from 1 species